GUCGCUUUGGUGGAGUGGUUAACGCGGUGUCCUGCUUAUGGCAUUGUCCAGUUGGACACAUGUUCGAAUCGUGUAGGCAGCA
rnacentral:tRNA from 1 species